AGAGUUUGAUCCUGGCUCAGGACGAACGCUGGCGGCGUGCCUAAUACAUGCAAGUCGAGCGGACAGAAGGGAGCUUGCUCCCGGAUGUUACCGGCGGACGGGUGAGUAACACGUGGGUAACCUGCCUGUAAGACUGGGAUAACUCCGGGAAACCGGAGCUAAUACCGGAUAGUUCCUUGAACCACAUGGUUCAAGGAUAAAAGACGGUUUCGGCUGUCACUUACAGAUGGACCCUCGGCGCAUUAUCUAGUUGGUGGGGUAAUGGCUCACCAAGGCAACAAUGCGUAGCCGACCUGAUAGGGUGAUCGGCCACACUGGGACUGAGACACGGCCCAUACUCCUACGGGAGGCAGCACUAGGGAAUCUUCCUCAAUGAACAAAAGUCUGACGGAUCAACACCGCGUGAGUGAUGAACGUUUUCGGAUCGUAAAGCUCUGUUGUUAGGGAAGAACAAUUGUGAGAGUAACUGCUCGCACCUUGACGGUACCUAACCAGAAAGCCACGGCUAACUACGUGCCAUCAGCCCCGCUAAUAAUUAGGUGGCAAGCGUUGUCCGGAAUUAUUGGCCGUAAAGGGCUCGCAGGCUGCUUCUUAAGUCUAAUGUGAAAGCCCUCGGCUCUCCCUGGAACGGUCAUUGCAAACAGGAAAA
rnacentral:rRNA from 1 species